GAUGAACGCUAGCGGCAGGCUUAAUACAUGCAAGUCGUGGGGCAGCAUGAGUAGCAAUACUUGAUGGCGACCGGCAAACGGGUGAGGAACACGUACACAACCUUCCUUCAAGCGGGGAAUAGCCCAGAGAAAUUUGGAUUAAUACCCCAUAAUAUAUUUGAUAAGGCAUCUUAUUAAUAUUAAAGCUUCGGCACUUGAUGAUGGGUGUGCGGCUGAUUAGAUAGUUGGCGGGGUAACGGCCCACCAAGUCUACGAUCAGUAGCUGAUGUGAGAGCAUGAUCAGCCACACGGGCACUGAGACACGGGCCCGACUCCUACGGGAGGCAGCAGUAAGGAAUAUUGGACAAUGGACGAAAGUCUGAUCCAGCCAUGCCGCGUGAAGGAUUAAAGGUCCUCUGGAUUGUAAACUUCUUUUAUAUGGGACGAAAAAAGGGCAUUCUUGUUCACUUGACGGUACCAUAUGAAUAAGCACCGGCUAACUCCGUGCCAGCA
rnacentral:rRNA from 1 species